AGUGAACGCUGGCGGUAGGCCUAACACAUGCAAGUCGAACGGCAGCACAGUAAGAGCUUGCUCUUACGGGUGGCGAGUGGCGGACGGGUGAGGAAUACAUCGGCAUCUACUUUUUCGUGGGGGAUAACGUAGGGAAACUUACGCUAAUACCGCAUACGACCUACGGGUGAAAGCAGGGGAUCUUCGGACCUUGCGCGAUUGUAUUAGCCGAUGUCGGAUUAGCUAGUUGGCGAGGUAAAGGCCCACCAAGGCAACGAUCCGUAGCUGGUCUGAGAGGAUGAUCAGCCACACUGGAACUGAGACACGGUCCAGACUCCUACGGGAGGCAGCAGUGGGGAAUAUUGGACAAUGGGCGCAAGCCUGAUCCAGCCAUACCGCGUGGGUGAAGAAGGCCUUCGGGUUGUAAAGCCCUGUUGUUGGGAAAGAAAAGCAGCAGGUUAAUACCCCGCUGUUCUGACGGUACCCAAAGAAUAAGCACCGGCUAACUUCGUG
rnacentral:rRNA from 1 species